CGCUCGCCACCCCCUGCUCUUUGCGUGCCCGAGUCAAGAUGAUGCGGAGCUUCGCGUUGCAGAGGCGGGAGUAGCCGCUUCUCCCCUCGUGCAUGACUUCUCCUUUUCCCCUUUUUAAGUUGCAAGAUAUUAGUAAGAUUGGGACUACCGAGGUAGUGUUUUGGGGUGCUCUUGUCUUUCCAGGAAGAUUCCCAGAUUCAAAGAGAAACUGUGAACAGGCAAAGUAAAGAUAGUUGUUCAUCUUCCUCGUCGAUCACGGGAGUUAUCAGAGUUAAAGCAUGUGCGAAUUAAAGUUAAGCGCGCGGAGGAGGUACUGGGAACAAGCACAUGCCAGUCUGGCCUAGAGGACAGCGUUUCUGGUGGCUUUAGGUCAUCCUCUCUGCACAGCAUACUUUUUAGUCACUUGCUGCCGAAAGUGGCAUGCUUAGGAAGUUGAUAGCACAAGCAGAUGGCUGGACCAGAGACCCGAGUCACGGACCCACCUACACUAGUUCUCCAUGUCUGAUAGCCAUUGUGCCACACCAAAUUACCAAUGUUUCCAAACUGUGUUGAUACUAAAAGGAGCUGGUGAAAUGGACUGGAGGAACCUUGCUAGCAGGACUAAAUCAGAAGAACAGACGCUCAGACAUGUAGAAAAGGAUGUUUUGAUUCCGAAACUCAUGAGAGAGAAGGCCAAAGAGCUAUGUUCUGAUAAAGUGCAAGGAGUUGUGACCAAGGGAGGAGAAAGAGAGGGGUCUUCUGGAGUAAUGGCAAGCAAGAUGAUGGUACUCUUAUUAAUCAGAGGGAAGCAAGCAGUGUUUCAGGGAAUUUCCCAAAUUCAUGCACAGCUGGCAAAUACAGCUACAGUUGGAGAAGCAUUUGGAGAUUUCUUGAGUGCAGAAAAGCACCAGCAUUCUGCUCUGCCUCGGAAAUACUUCACAAAGCACUUCAUAACGAAAAGACAACAGGGGAUGUGUGAAUUACUCAUGCAGCCACUUCUCAUGUUGCAGCUUUCACCAAAUGUUGUCAAGACACAGGUGUUCUAAUGGUGGUCAAAUGCCAAGAGGAAAACAAAGCUCUGAAAGCAUGUCUCACUGGCUACUAUACUGACCCAGCAUUUUAUGAAGAAUGCAAGCUUGAAUAUUUGAAGCAAAGGGAAGAAUUCAGAGCAACAGGAAUCCCCCAAAAGCAGCAGAAGCUUCCCACCAGCAUGUAAACUCUUACAUGUCUUGGCUAAAGGGGCUGUGGGUUGAUUGCCAAUGCCAUUAAACACCAAAUUUGAAUAGAUCUUGCAAUGUUUUUUCAAUCAUAACACUGCAAUAAAUGAAACUUGUAUGCUGUCAUUGUGAACAGUGUAUCCUGAAUCUGGAAAAUAUGAUUACAGCAAGAAAAUGCUAUCUACUUCAGUGGCGGGACUUUCCAUAGUUCAAUUUACAACAGGCCCUUGGGGCAACUUCAGUCAGGCAUGGUGGGCUUUCCUGAACAAUAACAGAAGCAGAAGAAUUCACCCUUCACUACAUUUGUGGUGUUCUUCACCCCAUUCCCAAAAGGCAGGUUUGGAGUUACAGCACCCUGUAUUUCACCACUGGCCAACUUAUGGAACAACUGUAUUUUUGGGACAACACGUUCCGUAUAGGUGCCAACAGCAGAGCAAAAGCACUGCGCUUGCAGUAGAAGUUAGAGCAAGGUGAUAAGAUUUCUGCAAACAGAAAUCAAAGGAAGCCAUGUGGAAGAAGGGAAAGCAAAAGGACAGCUAGCUGUACGAUAGGAAUGGGGUAGAAGGGGAUAGUAACAUGACAUGGUUAUAUAGAGAGGGGAUUAAAAAAAGACCAAUUGAGUUUAAAAAGGAGUUGUGUUAAAUUGUCAAAAUCUCUUCUGUUUUUACUGAUGCAGCUGCCUUCAGGUAGAGAUGUUAUAAUAAAAAUGUAAGACGUAA